UCUUCAAGCUGGUUAUUUAUUGACUAAGACUAAAAACUUUUAAGUAGCCUAUAUUGUAAAUAUUUAUCUUUUUUAUUUCUUUACUUUUUUACAAGAAAAUAGAUGACUCGAGUGUUACAAACAAUAGUUUUCAAGGAAUAAUGUGAAAUAAGUUAAUUUUUAUAGGAUAAAAAACGUAAUCAACAUGAUAACUUCAUAACAUUAGUCCUACCCUACCACACACUACCUUAGAGCUGUACCCUACCAGUAGAAUGGGGGCGUUGUAAUUAAUAUCCUCCGACAUUGGAGGGUACAGGGGAGAGGUGCUAUAGGAAGAGGAGAUGGAGGAUGGGGCGAAGUAAAGACGAAGAUUGAAGAGAGCUAACUUAUGGCCUGAUGACAGGGUAGAAGGUGAUGGAGGCAUGGUGGUUGGGGGAGAGGAGGCUGAAGAAGUGGAGACAAAUCAGUUUAGAUUCAUUAUGUUGAUUAGUUUAAUAUUUAUUUGGAAUAUCAGUAUACUUUUAUUUAGAUAUCUAAUCAUUUAGAUUAUUUUUUCUCAUUUAGAUUAUUAAACUAAGAUCAUUUUAUUGUUUUUAUGAAAAUGUUUUCUUAAAUUUUUAAUAUUUGUUUGUACUUCUGUCUGGUAAAAAAAAUACUGUUUUUUUUAGUAUGUUUGUUAAAAUGAUUACUUUCACUAACUGACCUUGUCUUGGGUGAAAAGAGAUAUCUUGAUAUUUAACUAGCAGGGUGCCUGUUCUAUAGGAGGGGAUCGUAUAAGUCAGU